GAGGACCGAAUGGGGCAUCCAUUCCCGUCCUAUUUCCCCACUCCACCUCAAAUCACGGGCGACAGAAGAGGGCGCGCAUCAGACCAAAACCGAGACUUACCGAGAUAAUUACUGCUGUGAAAGUCAGUGACACGCAAAGAGAUUUGAUCUAACGUUCAAAUGCUGUCCGGCAGGAAGAAUCUAAACUGACUGCGCAUGCACCGUGUUUGUAUCCUUUCCCCUGCCGCCCACCACAAGUUAGGACUAUUCCACUCGUCUUACUGCACAAGCGUGGAGGGCCGCCUUUCAUGACCUUUAGCUCCGUCCACGGGUGGGCGACGUCGGUAAGCGUAAUUUGACUGUUGACGUAAAACGUGAAAACCCCCGGCUGGCUUCAUGUGUCAUCGGGGGGGGAGGGGAGUGUGAUUGAACAAUGUGCUGCAACAUGGUCUGUUAAGGCAGGGUUAUCGGCAUAUUCAGGGUUGUCCAAGACCCCAAACAAUCGUUCCAAAUCCAGCAGAGAUUCACCUACACUUCUAACCUCGUCUACUGCAUCUGGAGCUCCUGAUGUGGUCUCCUCCACAUUGGAGAUACCGAGUGCAGACUCUGGGUCCAGUUCAUGGAGCAUCUCCACUUGGUACACUCCAAUCAACAUCACCUUCUGGUUGCCAGUUAUUUGAACUCCUCCCACUCUAUUGGUGAUAUGUCGAUUCUGGGUCUCCUCCAAUGUUAAAAUGAGGCCACAUGCAAACUGGAAGAACAAUACCUUAUACUGAGUCUCAGAUCUUACAGCCUAACAGCCUCAACAUAGAUUUUGAAGCUGGUGAACUCUCCCAACUCUCACUCGUCCAUGUCCAGCCCUCCCUCCCUCUCCUCCCCACCUCCUUGACCUGACUUAAUCUGUCCAUCUUCCUUCUCACCUAUCCACUCUACCCUUCCCACUGACUAGUCACAAUAACCCCCUACCUGUAUCCACCUAUCACCGUCCCACCUACCUCUCCUAUAUCCACCUAUCACUAUCCCAUCUACCUUUUCCUCAACCCCCCCCCACUCUACUUCUGAGAUCCCUUCCCUUAUCCAGUCCUGAUGAAGGGUCCUGACAGGAAAGGUUGCCUUUCCUGCUCCCUGUUUUAUCAACUCUGAGGUGGACAGAUCCUUGGACCAUGUAUAGCUGACUUCUCAAGUACCUGGAGACUUAUAAAAACCAAAGAACUGCAGAUGAUGACAAUCAAAUGCAAAAAAAGGAUUGCUGGAAAAGCUCAAUGGUGCCAGACCUGGAGAGUUAUCACCAGCACAGUGUUUGCAAAAUUCUGCAAAUUGUCUGGAGAGACAUGCUAAUAUCAUCAGCCUUUCCCAGGAUGAUAUCCCCAGAAUUGAGGCAGUUGCCACAUAUGACCAACUUGAAUAUGACACAGACUUGUGAAACAAGAGCUCUACUCCAAGCUACACAAUGGUGAGCAAUUGUUCGGAUGGCAGAGAAAAUGCUAUGAGGACGCUUUGAAAGCCUCCCUGAACAAAUUCAUCAUCCCCACUGAUGUGGGAGUCAUUUGCCAUGGAAUGUAAAAAGAGUGCGCAGAUUCCAGAGCAUCCGACACACCUGCCUCAUAAGUUCAUAAGAGAUAGGAGCAGAAUUAGGCCAUUUGCCCCAUUGAAUCUGCUCUGCCAUUCAAUCAUGGCUGAUAUGCUUCUCACCCCCAGCCACACCCUCCUGUUCCUGACCACUGGCUGAAUUCAAGUUGGAAACUCCUGCUGUAGCCCUUUUUGCUUUGUCUCCUCCAUCAAAAGAAGACUACUGAGCUCUUCAAGCCUGUUCCACUGUUAAGUGCGAUGGUGGCUGAACUAUAACUCUUAUCCCAUCAUCUUGUUGGUGAAUAAAAUAUCAAUCUGUUUUAAAAUGAAAAGUCAAUACAGCAUCGAUUUCCGAGCUUCUGUCACUUAAUGUUUGAGCCAUUGUAUGAUAUGUAACUUCCCAGCUCCAGUCCAAAGUGUGUAGUGUUUGUUCAACUAUUGAACAUAGGUUGUGCCAGUGCUCUUUCCUGUUUCAAGUAUUUAUGCAAUUUCCUUUUUUAAAAAUAUGCAAAAUGGUCUCUACCCACUGCUUUUGGCUUUGAAGAGUCCUUUAGAAUAUAAAGGUUAGCUUGCUUUCUCUCCAUGGAAGCUGCCUCACCUGUGAUCUCCAGCUUUUUUUUUUGUUUUUCUUCUGGUACAGUCUUCCCUGCAUUAAAAAGCAAGUUUUACAUUAGAAUAGCACCCUUAAAGGUCACCAAACAUCUUAAAGCAUUUAGAACCAACAUUUUUCUGAAGUGUAUUCACUAUUAUACUGUACUAUUAAAAAACAUAGCAAACAGCAAAUUUCCACAAAUAUCAUCAUGAUAAUGACCAGAUAAUCUGUUCUUGUGUUGUUGAUUAUGGAUAAGUAUUCUUCAGAGCACCAAUUCAUUGAAGUAAUAUUGUGAGAACUUUUGCAUCUUCCUGAGAGAUAGUGAAGCCUGGAUUAUCAUUAUGCCUGAGAACUUACAACUCUUAACAGUACAGCACUCCUGAGGAACUGCACUGAAGUGUCAACUUUAAUGUUAAUGUUCAUGGAUCGCAGCUUCAAUACACACCCUUCUUAGUCAGAACAGAGUAUGCUAUUUACUGAGCCAAAGCUGGCAUUUUAAACAAAAUGCUGCAUAAAACAUUUUUCCUAAUCUUGUCCCUAUAGUAAAUUGGUGACUUCUUCACUGAAUUCCCUAACCAGAGGAAGUAGUGUUUCCCUAUCAAUAUUUCAAAAAAUUGAUAGUUUGAAAAACUGAAUCACCUGUUCUAGCAGGAAUGUUUUUCUAAUUGUAAAAGUUAAUGUAAUGAAAUAACAUUCAGGCAUGACUGCUAAGUGGAAAGUAUCAUGUGCAUCACACAAGGGACAAAUGAUCACCAUCUCCAACAAGACGGAAUGUGUCCAUCUCCCCUUGACAUUCAGUGGUAAUAAAAAAAAUUGAAUCCUCCUUAACAUUCUGCAUGUUCCCUUUGACCAACAAUUCAACUAGACAGCCUGCAUAAAUACUAAGGAUUCUGGAUUAGAGUGUGCUGGAAAAGUACAGCAGUUUAGGCAGCAACCGAGCUUGCUGCCUGAACGGCUGUACUUUUCCAGCACCGCUCUAAUCCAGAAUCUGGUUUCAGCAUCUGCAGUCAUUGUUUUUACCUAUAAAUACCAAGGAUACUAGCACAGAUAAGAGGCUGGGAAUUUUGGGGCUGAGUGUUUCAUGCUCUGCCUGCUCAAAGCCUGAUCACCAUCUACAAGGCACAAAUCGGGCAUAGAUGGAAAACCUGUUUGGUUGUGUGCAGCUCCUCGCUCACGAAGCUCAACACCAUCAAGACAAAUCAGUAACUUAAUACAUCCCAUUUACCAAAUUAAAUAUCUACUCCCUCCAAUGCUAACUUUAGUGUAUCCUAUUUACAGAUACACUGGAUGAGCUUGUCGAAACUUAAUCACCAGCACCUCCCAGAAAAUGAAUUCAGAAGGGACAUGGGAAUGCUAUUACCUUCAAAUUAUACACCAUUUCAACUUUGAUACAUAAUAUUUCUUAACUGUUGUUGGGUCACAGUCUUGGAACGUCUGAUUUAUAGUAGUGUGGGAAUUAUCUAUCACAUGACACUGCAGUUCAGGGACUGUCAUGCCUUUUGUGUAAUGGGUGCACAAAAUUACACACUGACCACCAAUUUACAUAAAUUAACAUUGCUUCUUUGCUUGUGAAUGCCAUGUGACUAUUCAUAAUGACUCCAAAAUGUGACUUGGUUGAAACUUGUAUUUGAAUCCCAUGGUGUCUAUGUUCUUUCAUACCUUUAAUGUCUUUUCCCAUUAAGCAUAUUAUCCUUUUGCAUUUUGUCUCUCAAAAUAUUUCACACAUUAAACUGCAGAUGCCAUCAGCCUACCCAUCCUGCUAAUCUGUUUGUGUGUCAUGAAGUAAUUUGUAGUCCCCUCACUGUUUGUCAUACAUCCUACUUUUGAAUCAUUGGCACAUUUAAAAUGUGUACCUUAUGCCAAUGUCUAAAUUAAAUAUGUAAAAAUGUUUAACAUAUACAAAUAAAUAAAGUGAAACUAA